UGUUCCAUGGUGUAAUGGUUAGCACUCUGGACUCUGAAUCCAACGAUCUGAGUUCAAAUCUCGGUGGGACCU
rfam:Danio rerio chromosome 4, GRCz11 reference primary assembly.